UUAAAUGCUGUGAAUGGGAAGAGUAAGUAUUGAAUCAGUUUAAGAGAGCCGGUAAACAGGUCGCUGUUGGUGGGAUUCCGGUACUGGUUGGUAUUGAAGGCAGCCCGGGAGCAGAUUUUUCGAAAGUCGGAGACGGCAAGUAGAAAAAGACGUGACGCUACGUUACAGGCGCGUAAUGUAAACAUUAGUGUAAUUAAUGUCGCAUUAUUUGAGUGAAUGCAUUGCAGCAUUAAUUAGGGUGGUACCGCGGAAACCUUCGUCCCUGUU
rnacentral:ncRNA from 1 species